UGAAGACAUUCAACACUUCGUGAAUUUCAACAUUGACCAGUUUCAUAUCAGUUUGUCUUACGUAGGUCAUAUGCCAUGUGUUGCACUUGCUAAAUACAGUGAAUGACUAUCGAAUGUGCACGAGUUAUAUUGACUUUUCUUUAAAAUUAAAUACAAAGAAGUCAAGAAGGAAGCUAUGUCAAAUUCCAAGUCUUCUUAGCUCCAACUUACUUAUUGAAAACCCAAGAGAAGAUGUACUAAGAAUUCCCUUCCAAGUAGAACACGUGAAAUGUGAAAGCAGGGGUUUGAAGAAGUGUGAAAUCCUUCAUUUUAUUGGUCAAGCUGGUGCAACGCUACCAUUUAUACCAUGCUGCUGCAUGCACCAUGUGUGGAAGAAGGAAGAGCCUUCAAGAGGAAGAUAUUUAGAUCAUUCAUGGAGUGUUUCGAAAACAUCAAACAAGGAGAUUAUUGAAGAUAUCCUUCCUACGAAGGUGUUAAAAUUAGCAAGACUCGGAGUUCCUGUGAAAGUGUUGAAACUAGCAUGAAAUGCCUUUCUCAGAACCAAAGCCAGAGUUUUACAUUUAGUCAUGACAUUCAGCAAAUGAAUGAGUAUCUCAAGAAAAUUGGAGAGAGUUUUCAGAAGAUGAGGGAUACCAGUGGGACUCCUACACUAAGUCAGCUAAAUCAUACUACAUGUACAACAAUAUAACGACCAAAUUGACUGCUGUUAUUUUCCCAAAGAACAUCAAAGAAAUAGUGAAGAGUCUUACAGUAUGUGAAGAAAAUUCAAGUCUUGCCCAGUAUUAUACCUGAGGGAAGUUUUGACCACUUAUCCUAAAGUGAUCCAUGGCCAUGCAUAUCAAACUUCAGAAACAUGACUCCACUCUGCACUACUUCCAAUAUGCUUCAAAUCAUUUUUUAAAAGCUUAUAAUAAUGUACAUUCUUAAAUAAAAUAUGCAUGUAAUAAGUGUAUAAAACUAA